CAGCCCCCCAUCCAGGUAGAGCCCCAGCGCCGCCCCAGAGCUGAAGCCGAAGCGGUGGCGGAUGAGGCUGGCCAGUUUCAAGUCUUGGGUUCCGGUUUUCACAGUCUGCCUCUGCGGCCUCAUUGAUUACCAGCGUUACUUCCCUCCGUGCGCCUCCCCUUCUGACCUUCCUGCUGUCUCUCGCACGUGGUACUUGAGCUCCUGCUUUUGCACCUUCCUCAUGCACCAGCAUUUACUUCCUCCUCUCCACCUCUUGGAAUCCGUGAUUCCAGGCUGAACGCUGAAGUUCAGACUCUCAGCUGCGCUCAGACACUUAAGAGCUGGGGUGGAUGAGGGAUGGGGGUAUCGAUGAAGACAUUAGGCAGGAACGGGUGGGGUUCCUUUUCUCCAAAGCAGGCGUUCGGAGCGAAGGAAUUCGCCAAAGCCAGAGGUUAUGGUGGUAAAGAGCAUUAUUGUUUAAAAAAAAAAAUACACCAAGAGGGAGUCCCUUGGCCCGCAUAUCAUUCUCAAGGAAGAAGUGAUCUGCAAAAAGUCAUUUUUUGAAGACCAGUUUUAUGCAUGAAUCUAAAGGAAGUCCAAGUAAAGGUGAAAUCUUACCUGCGGUUGUGACUUUCACCUAGAAAGCUUAUCUUGCUCUGAGAGGAUGCAAGACCUUUUGGGUUUGUAGAUCAAAGGAGACAUUUUUUUGUAAUUUUACAUAAUUUUACAUGGCUCACUCAGGUCAUACAGAGUUAACUCUUGUUAGAGUGAUCUUGGCAUUUCACUUAACUGGUAAAAUGCAUGUAACGGUGCAAACUACUUUCUGUAAACUAAAAGGCAGGUGAUCAAGAGUUGCUAUUUUUCAUCCUCCUGAAAUGUCGGUAAGAGACCAAGGGGAUCCCCUUGUCUGGAAUUUGGCAGAUUGCUUGGAAUGGAUGCCACUGGUGCUGUUAAGUUGAUAAUCUUUCCAAAGCAGGUUGACUACAUCUUCGUGAAGGCGAGCUAACUAGUCCAUUGCCAAAGUUCUCCUUGUUCCUUGCCACCAAAAGAAAAGAGAAAAAAAUGAAGGUAAAGGCUGAACUUAUCCAUAGACACAUAUGUUACUCCUCAGUGAGAGUAGGCCACACUGUUUUGCCAAGAAUCAGAAGAAUCACUCUGGUUAAUCAAGGACAGUUAGAAGAAAUAUACCUUAUUCAGGAUUUUUUUUUUUAACAGCACCCAUUUUACCUUUCUGAAAGCAUGGUUAAUGGAAAUGUCAAUGAAUUACUUGAGAAAUACAAUAUUGUGUCAAAUAAUAGGCCAAUAUUUAGUGAAUUCCUACAGGACACCCACAUGCAUACCACUCUGCUAGGGGAACCUGAUAAGGUCAUUUGAACCAACUACUCUCUACCCUUGAGGCAUGUGGAGUGAUUACUUUGAUUUACUUUCAGACAAGGAGUGUAUAGAUUUAACUUCAUGUUCCCUCCAUACUUACUGUGAAUAAUUAUUUUGGCCCAAAUAGA